GUGGUAGUAGUUCAGAUGGAAGAACGUCGCCUUGUGACGGCGAAGGUCGGGGGUUCGAAGCCCCUCUAUCACCC
rnacentral:tRNA from 36 species